UACGGAGGGUGCGAGCGUUGUCCGGAAUCACUGGGCGUAAAGGGCGCGUAGGCGGCGCGGGAAGUCCGUGGUGAAAGCCCGAGGCUCAACUUCGGGUCGGCCAUGGAUACUCCUGGGCUCGAGCACUGUAGAGGCAGGUGGAAUUCCGGGUGUAGCGGUGGAAUGCGUAGAGAUCCGGAAGAACACCGGUGGCGAAGGCGGCCUGCUGGGCAGUAGCUGACGCUGAGGCGCGACAGCGUGGGGAGCAAACAGG
rnacentral:rRNA from 1 species